rnacentral:lncRNA from 1 species
AUAACAUGGUAGGAAGGACUGUUUGACAAAGUGAAUGCCUGUCUUUCAGAAAAUACAGGGAGGUGUGAUGUACCCAUUAUCACAAGCAGAUGGAAUGCCUAUAGAGUCGGAUCUCAUCUACAUAUCACCUAUUAUAUGUAGUUAUUGAUGGAUAAAUACUUCAACAGCUAAAGGCAGAAAGAGAGCAGUUCACACAGACGUUAUUGGUGAUUCACUCUUGAGUCAUGAAAAGUCAACCUUGAGCCACAGAAAGUCAACCUUGAGCCAUGCAGAGUGGAGAGUCAUACAUGCCAUUCCUGGGACCAUCAAAAAUGGCAGAGGUCACACAAAAGGCAAAACUUUUAAGAGGUGUUUUAAACGUCGUAUGGGCCAAAGAGAAGCUGGAUUUCCUAUUGGAGUCAGCUGUAACACACGUGUGAUGAAAUUGGCCUGUGAGGACAAGGCAGUGAGCAGAGAGGACAGCAGUCCUUACGAGAUCAAGCUCUAAGGUAUCCUAGAUACAUUUGGAGAAUUCACCUGAGCUACAGGAUGUGAAAAGUUGCUAAAACUGCUGUGAGAUUCUGGCUAAGAAAGUUUCAUGAGAAGUUUUACAGAAAAAUGUGAACGGAAGACAGAACUAGAUAUAAAUUUGAAUGGUAAUCUAAAU